rnacentral:tRNA from 1 species
GAAAUAGUUUAAUUAAAAUAUUAAUUUUGGAGAUUAAAGAUAGAUUUAUAUUUUUUCUUGA